ACUGCGAACACCCGUUUUCGGUUUUCCGCGUUCCGCCGCCGCCGGUCACCACGCCGCCGGUAAUUCGAGUUUCAUACCGUUUUUUUUUUUUUCUUUGAUUUUCCGCCUUUUUUUUUUUUCAAAACGUCCGUUCCCGUUUCCCGGCGAUUCCGGCGUAAGCGUAUUGUAUCGUUUUCGGCGGCGAUGUACCGCAAUAGGUAGUGGCGGUUCGUCUGUCCCGUGCGCGGGGUCGCGUUGUUUUUCGCCGCUGUCUCAAAGCCGAUACGUGCGUUCUCGCGUUAUAAUAAUUUUUGUUUUUUUCAUAGUUUCGAUAUAAACGCGUGCCUGAUCAUAUAAAUAAUAUCGGUUUACGUACUUCGGAAACGGAAAAAAAAACCCCCCGUCGAUAGCGUAAUAAUUAAUAAUUGAUUGUGCGACCGAUGGAAAACGGAACGAUUUUUACCGGAAAUAUCGCGACGACACGAGCGUAGAAAAAAAAAAACACCAACGACAAUAUUG